UUCCAGACUCCUACGGGAGGCAGCAGUGGGGAAUAUUGGGCAAUGGAGGCAACUCUGACCCAGCAACGCCGCGUGAAUGAUGAAGGUCUUCGGAUUGUAAAGUUCUUUUCUAAGGGAAGAAGAAAGUGACGGUACCUUAGGAAUAAGCCUCGGCUAACUACGUGCCAGCAGCCGCGGUAAUACGUAGGAGGCAAGCGUUAUCCGGAAUGACUGGGCGUAAAGGGUGCGUAGGUGGUUUGACAAGUUGGUAGCGUAACUCCGGAGCUCAACUUCGGAACUACUACCAAAACUGUUGGACUCGAGUGCAGGAGGGGCAACUGGAAUUUCUAGUGUAGCGGUGGAAUGCGUAGAUAUUAGGAAGAACACCGGUGGCGAAGGCGGCUUACUGGACUGUAACUGACGUUGAGGCUCGAAGGCGUGGGGAGCAAACAGGAUUAGAUACCCCCGUAA
rnacentral:rRNA from 1 species